ACUCCACUCCCCUUCCCAUCCACCCGCCUGAGCUUCUAAAGCUCUCUGUGCCCACCAUCGCUGCCAUGGCCGCCGCCUGUGCUCACUCCGAUUUCGGUGACCCCAAGCCCCGUUCUCUCUUCCACCACCUCUAGUAGAUCACCCAGCCACCAGAGCCUCUCCCUCGACUCUCCAUUCGUCGCCGGAGUCGCCAUGACCUCGUCCUCAACUUCCGGCCGAAGUCCCGUCCGCUGCAACCGCGGCUCUCCUCAACGCCGACCUCCUCUGGAUGCCUGGAUGGUCCAGGGUGGCUCGGCUCGGCCUGCUGAUCACGCUGGUAGGUGGCACGGCCCGAACGGUGGCCGGAGUCACCAGCUAUCACCGUCGGGGCCGGCACCGCUCUCUGCCGCGCGGGAUAAGGGGAGGUUGAAGACGAAGAACCUGCCAGGCGAGCCCCACGUCACCCCGGCCCACCCGUCAGCCGCACGAGGGGUUGACCUGGGCGCUAACGGGGAUAAGUGGCCACGCAUUUCAUGAAAUACGCUUUCACCAAAUUGAAAGCGCAUUUUCCUUCUGCUUCAGCUCAGAGGACUUGUUUGUGAUGAUAUUUUUGCAGAAAAGUCCCUGAACUUCAACCCUUCAUAUCUUUUUAACCACAACUCCAAAUGAGCCCCUCUGGGAGAGAACUGUUUCUAGCAAAUCUUUCCGCGGCUUCACCGCACUUCUCACCGGUGCCUUCUUCAUCCCCAGGAAAGCCACAAUACCCACUUGAAUGAUAGUCAUGUAGUAGCCAUGGCUUUCAACUUGAAUAUUUAUUAAAUGAUUGCUUGUUUAAAAUAUGGUUAUCAUUGUUUUGGAAAUGCUUCUGGGAUUGUGCUUACUUGUUUGCUAUGUUGUUAUGCACCUGGUUAUCCUACCCUGCUAGUUGCUAGUAUUACUUUCAUAUUUCCAUGCUUGAUAGUAGUACAUGUUGGGUUGGUCAUGCUCUUCGGUGCAUGACUAACGUCGG